AAGAGCUCAAAUUUGAAAUCUGGCUCCUUCGGGGUCCGAGUUGUAAUUUGUAGAAGAUGCUUCGGGUGUGGCUCCGGUCUAAGUUCCUUGGAACAGGGCGUCAUAGAGGGUGAGAAUCCCGUAUGUGACUGGGUGCCUACGCCCGUGUGAAGCUCUUUCGACGAGUCGAGUUGUUUGGGAAUGCAGCUCAAAAUGGGUGGUAAAUUUCAUCUAAAGCUAAAUACUGGCCAGAGACCGAUAGCGCACAAGUAGAGUGAUCGAAAGAUGAAAAGCACUUUGGAAAGAGAGUUAAACAGUACGUGAAAUUGUUGAAAGGGAAGCGCUUGCAAUCAGACUUGCGCCCGGGCGAUCAUCUGGGGUUCUCCCCAAGGCACUCGUCCGGGCUCAGGCCAGCAUCAGUUCUCGUGGUGGGAUAAAGGCCCUGGGA
rnacentral:rRNA from 1 species